rnacentral:rRNA from 1 species
CACGUAGGCACCAAGCGUUGUCCGGAUUUAUUGGGCGUAAAGAGCUCGUAGGCGGUUCGGUAAGUCGGGUGUGAAAACUCUGGGCUCAACCCAGAGCCGCCACCCGAUACUGCUGUGACUCGAGUGCGGUAGGGGAGCGGGGAAUUCCCGGUGUAGUGGUGAAAUGCGUAGAUAUCGGGAGGAACACCAGUGGCGAAGGCGACUACCUGGCCUGUUCUUGACGCUGAGGCGCGAAAGCUAGGGGAGCAAACGGG